rnacentral:snoRNA from 1 species
CACCUCUCAGGGUCGCACCUGGAGAGUUUUCAGUCCUCUACCAGUCUUGGCUAAGGGAGGGAGAGUCAAGCAGAGGCCUGUCCAUUCCAUUCCUAGCUUAGCCAGUGGCUAGCGAGUGAAAGGCCACCUGCUACAAGU